ensembl:lncRNA
GGGAAAUGAACAAGUGUCUCAGCCCUCAAGGGACUAUUUGGCCAACCAGCUUAUUCCUGCUUGAAAAGCUAAAUGUUAUUAAUAGUGUAAAAAACAUCAACUUUGAAGCACAUGCUGAUUGAUGGACCAGCAUUACUCAACAUUACUUACUACCUUCCAGCAACACUACAUUCACUGAAGGUAAAAUAGUAAAAAAACAUAAUAAUAGUUCAUUUAAAUGGAAUCAGAACAAAAAAAUUGUAUACUGUAAUAUAUGUUGAAUUUUGACAUUGCCAACCUUUAAAUUAAGAUGAUAGUAAGUAAUAAACAGUAUUGAGCACUGAGUAGUUGAGUAUUGUGCAUUUUUCCUUACCACUAUUUUCUUAAUAGUUGUUUAAUAAUUUUAAUGGAACCGGAAACAGAACCGGAACCGUUAGGCGGACCGGACCGGAAAAUUUCUAACGAUUCCCAACCAUAAUUGUGAUGGUGGUAAGUAACUUUGCAAGUACAACUUAUUCUAACCCUAGCAGUCUACUUAUACUCUGCUAUCACUCUAGUGAGAGUUAAUUGAUAUGUAGAUGCAAUGUUACUUAUAGUCAAUGGAAUAUGUUAAAGGGAGCAUCAAAAUAAAGUGAAACCUUUGACUUUAUUUGUGACGCAUCCUUCAGAGAAGGCUGCUGUAGUGUCCGGAGGCCGUUUCAGUCUGUCAGUGUUGCUUUGUCAUCUUCCCGUCUGACAAUCCCAGUGAACUGCUCAGUUUGACUGCCCAUGAACUACAGGCCUGAAGCCCGAUCCAAAGCCAGAGCCGUCAGAACCGCUUAUGAACUCUGAACACGCAGGCAGAGGCCAUAAAGACACUGUUAGCACAGGAAAACAUUCGAGCUAAGACCCGACAGGAGCUGGACUCGGCCAUCAGAGGGAGUCCACACUGAAGCUCAUGGACACACGCAUCACACACACACACACACACACACACAAACACACACACACACAGACCUUCACUGACGUGCAAACCAGCACAACAUCACACACACACACAGUUCAUACUGACACAAGGCCGGCCUGAAGUAAGCUUACUGUAUGAUUUCUGAGGGAAUUAAAAUGUCUAUGAGCUGAUUAGAUUUGAGCGUUUGAUGUCUAUAAUGCUUCAGAUAAGCUGCCACAGUGGCCUUAGAGAAAUCACACCUUGUUACAUUGCUGAAGAACAUGCCCUUUCAGCUUCGUUUCAUUCACAGAUGUGUAUCUUCACCAGAAUGUGUCUUUUAUGCUCCCUGUCCUGAUCUUUCUGGAGUUCGGCCGUAUGGAUGCCGACGCACUAUGAUGUCAUUGUUUAGCAUUUUGUUUCCCAUCUGCCACUUUUUUUACUCUUAAAAAUAAAGGAGGAGAUGACAGCGAGUGGACGUGAUUCAUUCUCUCCGCGGCUCUGUGUUAAUGACGGAGGUUGAGAUUGUUGUCUCAGAGUCAUGUUGGCAGGGUUUCUCUGAGAGCUGCUCGCAGCUACAUCUGCAACGCCUCCGACUUUACGUUUGACUAUUUUUCUCUCAUCCUCUGAAAUAAGCAUAUUGCCUGGCGUCUGCUGAGUGUGAGAGAAGUCAAAGCAUGAGCCUCGGCACAUCCGACACGAGGUCGGGAGGUUUAUUCGAGGUGAAGCCGUCACAGGGAGAAGUGAGAUUGAGUUUCUGAAGCCCUGUUUGGAAAUUAUUUCUCAGCAGCGCGUCUGUAGAAGAAUGAGUGCAUGGAUAAAACUGAGGAAUUCAGAUGCCAAAUAAUUCACCGAGGACAAGUUUUUAAACCUUAAAAAAAAGAAAUCUGAUGAAUUGGACGUUCACUUCUCUCAUGGUCAUUGCCACAUUAUAAUAAGUAUAUAAUAUAAAGAUUGUGUCAAAUGUGUUAUGUAAAUCUAAAACUGUUAAAUUAAAACAACUGCUAUUUACUGAGGGUCAUAUAAACCUAUACUUGAUUUCUUUAAAGACAUUAAUACUUUUAUUUAUGUUACAAAAUAUUUCUAUUUCAAAUAAAUGCUGUUCUUUUGAACUUUCUAUUCAUCUGCGUAUCCUGAAAAAUAACAUGCAUUACAGUUUCCAUAAAAAUAUUGUGCAGCACAGCUGUUUUCAACAUUGAUAAUAAUCAGAAAUGUUUCUUGAGCAGCAAAUCAGUAUAUUAGAAUGAUUUCUGAAGAUCAUGUGACACUGAAGACUGGAGUAAUGAUGCUGAAAAUACAGCUGCACAUCACAGAAAUAAAUUACAGUUUAACAGAGAUUCACAUAGAAAACAGCUGUUUUAAAUCGAAAUAAUAUUUCAAUUUUUUACUGUAUUUUGAUCAAAUAAUGAGGCAUUGGUGAGCAGAGGUAAAAUCUGAACAGCAGUAAUGUAUCUUUUAAAGGCUUCUUUGAACAGUUCACAUGAUUCACCUCUUGAUGUGUUUUCUUUCUUUCUUAAAAUCUGUGCUGACAAUCUCUCCAAAACAGUCCUUCAUUACGCCCAGAAUACACAAACACUUACAGUGACAGCACACAGAGCUCAAAUGGAAGAGGAUUUUGAAAACAACUUGUGCUCUUCCUCCUAGUGAAAUCAGAGAUGCCAGACCAUGUGAAAACAGGAAGCAGUUUGGCCCAGAAGAUUUUUCAUGGGAGGCAUGUUUUCAAUUCAAACCACCAUUAAAUCACCUGUUCACUGCCUGUGAGAGCUGUCACAUCUUGUUUUACAAUAUAUUCACACUGAAAAAUUAUAAAGUGCAAUCCUAUUUCACAAUAUUACUGUUCUUACUGCAUAUUUGAUCAAAUAAAUGCAGCCUUGGUGUUUGGAUGUUUUAUAAAGAUAGCUGAUAUUGUGUUCUUUUCUAUCAAGACCAAUAUAUGUUCUUCUAAAACUGAUCACUAGACAAAUUGAUAACAGCUGAACUCUUGGGCCAAUGUAAGUGUAAAUAUGUUGAAAUACUGAUGAAAAGAAACUUCUACUUCAAAGCACACGAUCAGAACAUGCUGUGAGAGGUCAGAAAGAUGAAGCCACUGUUUUAAUGCCACCAAACAACAGGACUGAACAGAGAAUUUGUAAAUUGUGCAUGAUCUGAGCUCUUAAUUGAACCAAAGGUCAGUUUUCUGUGAGCAAUACUCAACACAAAGCGCGCUCAUGUUGACUUCAGCCAGCAGGAAAAGGUUUGGAUGUGGCUCAGGCUUCAAGACUUUGGUACAAAUUACUGAAUAUCUAAUCAUAAUCACAGCUGCCAUAAACACAUACUGAUGCAUUAAUGAGUAUCUGUCUGUCAGCAUCAUAAACUCAUCGAUUCUAAUCUUCAGUGUGAUUCAGAGUUGAAUUAUGAUACAUUUACGGUUCCACCUUUGAACGAAGAUGUGAGUUUGAUGUCAGGUUGUUCUGGAGAAUAUAUUACUACCCAUAUUAAUAUCCAUCUCACGGUGCGUUUCCACCGAGCGCUUUCAAUCAUUCCUGUGGAAGCUGAGCUUAAACACUCACACGGUGCAUUAUGGGAUUGAAUGUGUUGAGCGGCCAAGAGCAUCAAAAAGUUGGGCAUUCAAUCAUCAUUUUCCCAAAUGUACUUUCUAAACCAGGUUGUUUUCUUUUAAAGCUGCUCUUCACUGGGAAUAAUUGAUUGACAGGUGAGUAGGUGGAGCUUCACAUGGUCCAGGUCACAUACAUAUUUGGGGGCAUGUCUGUGUACAGUUUGUAUUGUUAUAAAAAAUACUGCAAGAAAUAAAAUUUAAACAUCAAAUUGAAAUACAUGUUUUUCACUUUUAAGGAAUGUUACAUUUUAUUGUUAUGGCCAAAACUACACAACAGCAAAGCUGCACUUAAAAAUCUAAACAUUUGUUUUUAGUAAUUAAUUCAGUAUUUUGCUGCAGUGAAGUUGGAAACAGGGUUGUAAAUCUCAGACACAGUUUUCCUUCCUUCCACAUUUUCAAGGCAUUUGUAACAUUAACAAAAAUGUGUCUGAAAUACCAAAGCAGCAACCAGCGGUGUAAAUAUUUUACUAUCUUACCAUGCCAGAUCUCUAAAGCGUAUUUCCCCAGCUUCAUCUUUACUGCAGAAAUAACUGCAAAUAUGCACUCAGAUGAGCUGAACCUGAAGCCUUCAUGCCCUCUGAUGUCUGUAUUUGUUUGCAGUUAUUCAUGAGGAGAAACUUCACUGGGCAUGAAUGUUUUAAAGCUCAUAUUUUCCUCAGACAGGUAAUGCUGCUGGGUUAGUUUGUUUGUGACUGCUGGGAAACUGCUGCAUAACUCUGUUACCAAACACACAGGCUACAUUUACAGGAUGAUGUCUUGUUCAUAAUAACUAUCAAAUCGAUCUGUCAUUUAAUUACUGCGGCUCCUUCGAAGCUGUGAGGAGACCCAUUGGGCAGCGUGUGCAGUGCAGGAAGAGUAGCUGCUGUGUUCAUGUGUUUGUAAUCACACAGCAUCAUGUCCAAGAGAGAAAAACUUCAGCUCUGACGUCUGACAGUGCAGAUACAACACAUGCUCUGCUCAAUACAAGCUCGAUGGACUACUACUGCAAAUCACUUCCACUGUAUGAACACAAACACAAAUCCUGCUCUCAGUAAUGCACUUACAGUGGAGGUCAGGGGGCAGGUGUACCAGAGGAAUUCAAAGCACAAAUGUCAAGCUGGUAUGUUUGUUAAAGAGAUAGCUCACACCCCAAAAAUGAAAAUUUGCUGCUCAUUUGCUCACACAUAUCUCGUUUGUGGCUACCAUGGUUUAACUAUGGUAACCAUGGUUUUUAUUUUAUUUGUAGUAAAACCAUGGUUAAUUUUCGUAAACGUCACUGUAAAGGACAGCCUGCCGUGAUUUACUUUUGCCGUGGUUUCUGAUUCAGUGUAUUCAAGGUAUUUGAUUCUAUCAAAUUAUCAAGUUUUUGAUACUAAAGGAGACCCUGAGAAAACAGCACAGGGAGAUAGUUUUCAAAACAGCUAAUAUUAGUCAACUGUAACAUUACACUGACUAAAUAUCUUCUUAAGCUCUCAAAUGUCCCAAAAAUCCUUUGACCCACAGUGUGAGUCCUGAACAAAGCAAUGUUUCUUGUCAGAGUGCAUUAGUGAAGCAACUGACAGUAUAUAAAGCUGCAUAAUGCACCUCCACAGUACAGUAUAUCAUGCUCAGGCCAUCCAUGUGUAUUAGUCUGACUCAUGAUGAGAGACAGAGAUGUAAAAAGACAAAUAGAGCAAGUCUGACAGUCAGUACAGAAAAAAUGUCUCUGGUGACGUUAGCGUCUAACAAAGCAGUCGCCCAAUAUCUGACAAGCACAUAUUGACUUUGAACCCAUUAACUCAUAGUUACAGUUCCUCCGUCUGGUCCGUUGACCUCGGAUUACUGUCCUCAUGCAGAACAGAGCUGUCAUCAUUAUCAAAGAGCGGUCAGCCAGGCUUCUUCAUGAAUGAGAUAAAGCCAUUCUCAUGUAAAUUGCUGCAUUCGGUUGACGUUUGCUAAAUGUUUCUGUGAACGAUUAACACAGAUUCAUCAUGAAUGAAUCGUUUCUGUUCUCUGCAGUCCCUCAGCUCAUCUCCUGUGGACCAACUCACCUGCUCCACAACAGCUGCUGAUUGUCUCAACACCCAUUUCUCAUUUGACCUGGAAGAGUUCCAUCAUGCUGCUCCAGACACACACUCACUCGCUCACGCAGGAUUCACUCUUGAACUGCUUUGACAGUAUUUCAUAUGUUCUUGCACACAGUAUGGGCAUUUUCUGUGCAUACUUCAAGCGAAACUGAAGAAUGAACUGGUGUGAUAUAAUUUCAAAUAAAAUUAGGCCAAAACAAAGUUUGUUUGGAAAUCAUUUGAAUACUUUCCAGAAAAUGUUGCUCUGUUUGCUCUGUUUAGACCUUCAAAUUACCAUUGGUCUGUGGUGAUGAUGUCACAUGUGGUUGAGGCUCAGUUGCUCCACCUUCUUUGACACGAAAAUCUUCUCUGGUUCAUUUCCUUCAGUUCAGCCCAUCAAGGUGAGAGACCAGUAAAACCAUGAACACAUUAGAGAACUGUUUUAGAGAUGAAACCAAAGCUGUAAUUAUAACUGAAAGCAACACUGACGCUGUUUUUCAUGUUUAAUACUGUUAAAGGAUUAGUUCACCCAAAAAUUAGUCUGUGUUUUACUCACCCUCAAACCAUCCUAGGUGUAUGUGACUUCCUUCUUUCAGACGAAUCCAAUCAGAGAUACAUUAAAAAUUGUCCUGGCCCCUCCAAGCCUGUCAAUGGGGUAAGCAGGUGUUUGUUGUCAACAGUUCAAAAGACGUGAAAUAAAGCAUGCGCAUCCCUAAUAAAGCGUCCCUCACACGGCUCCGGGGGAUUAAUAAAGGCCUCCUGUAGUGAAUCCAUGCAUUUUUUAAAGAUAAAUAUCCA